ACCCCUCUCUCCCUCUCUCCCUCUCUCUCUCUCUCUCUCUCUCUCUCUCUCUCCUCUACGUAUCACUGUUGCCGACGACGCAGGAGUACUUUCCGGCCACCAUUUUUAGCCACGCGCCGGACCGUUGGAUUCAGAGGCCUCCGAACUAUCGACCCACGCAGGAAUCUAGAGCUCACUCGCCGAUUAAACGCCUCAACCACUCGAUUUAAGUUCGGCCACCCCGCGACUUUAAAGUUGCGAUUCGGCCACCUCGGGCAUCCGUUUGCCGAUCCGUCACCACCAUCGUGUUCCUCGUGUUGUGGGCUUCAAAACCCAAUAACUUGUUCCUACAUCUACCAUAGUUGGGUGGUGGGCCCACCACGAGCCACCGCGAUCCACCGUAGAUCGACGGUCGAAACUUAGUGUUCGAGGUUCCGAAGUACGUUUUGAGUCUCAGAAAAUCAUCGUUUGACUUAUUGUGGAACCCGAUCAUUUUGGAUUUGUAUGGAUUUGAUUGAUUGACUCUUGGUGAGGAAUUUUAAAAUAAGCUAAGGACCUAAGGUAAGUAAAUCUCACCUUUUGUGCUUAAGUGUAAGAUGCAUGACUACAUUGAUUGUGUACAUCUGAUGAGUUAAGUAUGGUAUGAUGAUGAUGCAUAUGAUAAGUAUGUGAAGAAUGGUUAUAUGAACACCAUAAGGGUGUUGUGUGAUAUGUAAUUGAUGAAUUCUGUGAUAUGUGAAAGAUGUCUUACUUGGUUAAGAAUGAUAUGAAUUAUGUGCAAGUAUGUGUUCUUAUGUUGAUGGAUAUGUGGAUUACUCUAUGUUCAUGAUUUGUUAUAUGUUAUGAUAUAUGAAGCGUUUAAGUUUUUAGGCUGGAAACCUUAGACCUGAGCCAUAGCUCUACGUUAAGGUAUAACAACGCCACCAACCCAAAGCUUCAUGUAUUAUGACUAAAGAUGUUUUGAGUUAUAUGAGAUGUGAUACAAUGCCUUGAUUGAAUACCAUCAACAUGAAUCAUGAACAUGAACAUUGGCAUUUCAGCAUCAGCAUGUAUGCAUGGCAUGUACAGUUAUGUGAUACAUUAUUAUGUGAUAUAAGACCAUGCAUAUGAAUAUGAAAAAAGUUAUGAAAUGCCUUGAAAAGUUUUAUGUAAAGUUAAACAUUUUAAUGACACAAGGCUUAAGCAAAGUGAUAAUAAGAUGUUAAAAAGGGUGCCACUGUUUCGAUGAAGCAAUCAAGUAAGUUCAGUAAAGAAGACGGAAGUCUAUAAGACUUAUAGUGGCUGCCCACUAGUGUGGGCUAGGUCAGAGUUGACCAUUCAGAUAUGUUUGCCAUGUUUCCGUCUUUCUCCUCCAUAUGUGUAAUAAGUAUGGCAGCUAUGGCAACGAUGAAAUGAGUGUUAUGAUGAGCCUAGCUGAGAUGAUGGCUAGCCGGAGGAGAACCCAUGGGAUUCUAUAUGAUAUGUGUAACAAGCCCUGCAGGCAUUGGCUGAAUCAAACAGUGUGCACAAGUGAUAUUGGGCCCAUAAAAAUGUGAAACUAAAAGAAAGAGCAUAAAAGUAAAGUUUGAAAGUGCAUGAGCAAUAAAUGAAAUUCAUAAGUAUAUAAGUCAGCAUAUUAGUAUAUGUGCACUACAAACUCACGACAUUCAUGUGUAUGUGUAUGCA